rnacentral:rRNA from 1 species
AUUGAACGCUGGCGGCAGGCUUAACACAUGCAAGUCGAGCGGAGUGAUGGUGCUUGCACUAUCACUUAGCGGCGGACGGGUGAGUAAUGCUUAGGAAUCUGCCUAUUAGUGGGGGACAACAUCUCGAAAGGGAUGCUAAUACCGCAUACGUCCUACGGGAGAAAGCAGGGGAUCACUUGUGACCUUGCGCUAAUAGAUGAGACUCAGUCGGAUUAGCUAGUUGGUGGGGUAAAGGCCUACCAAGGCGACGAUCUGUAGCGGGUCUGAGAUGAUGAUCCGCCACACUGGGACGGAGACACGGCCCAGACUCCUACGAGCGGCAGCAGUGGGGAAUAUUGGACAAUGGGGGGAAGCCUGAUCCAGCCAUGCCGCGUGUGUGAAGAAGGCCUUAUGGUUAUAAAGCACGUUAAGCGAGGAGGAGGCUCUUUUGGUUAAUACCCAAGAUGAGUGGACGUUACUCGCAGAAUAAGCACCGGCUAACUCUGUGCCAGCAGCCGCCGUAACAC